rnacentral:tRNA from 1 species
UGUCAAGGGAUGGGAAUCGAACCCACGACCUUCCGCUUACUGGGCAGAUGCCAUGACCACUAGGUUACCAUGGAC